GUCUUCAUAGCUCAACGGUAGAGCGGAAUACUGUUAAUAUUUUUAUAGAGGUUCGAUUCCUCUUGGAGACUCCACCC
rnacentral:tRNA from 1 species